rfam:Heligmosomoides polygyrus genome assembly, scaffold: HPBE_scaffold0003660
ACGCCGGUGGUGUAAUGGCGUAGAGCAUUCCCGCCCGGUCAGAGGGAGGUGCGGGUUCGAGUCCCGCCUGGCGCU